rnacentral:misc_RNA from 1 species
CCUCUCCCCCGCGGUUCCCUUCAACGUCGCCUCCCUAGAGAUCCGCCGCUUCUCUGCCCUCUGCUCGUCGAUUCGGCGCCUCCUCUCCUUCACGCGCCCACGCUGCCGUCGCCUCCUCCUCACUGUCGUCCAUGCCGUGUAGCCGCCUACGGCCAUGGCCGCUGGAGCCAGCGACUAUUUGACGGUGGAGUACCACUCCAGAGACUCCCCUCUUUCCCCUCCGACGACGAGGGAGCCACCGGCGGCAGCGGCGUCCUCGUACACCACGGUGGGCACGGUGGGCGAUCUUCUCAUGAAGUGGUGGUAGUGCCUCGUGGACGUCGACGGAGACGCGGCGUGCCUGCCCCUCGUCCUCCUGCUCCUUGUCUUCUCCGCCGCCCCGUCUCCUGCUCACGGCUGCGACCGCUGCGUGCGCCGGUCCAGG